GAAGAGGUGGUCGAGUGGUCCAAGGCGCCGCAACCGAUGUGUCAUUUUAUUGAGUCUUCUUGGAUUCAAGAAGUGCGGUCUGUUCCAAGAACAGUCGUGGGUUCAAAUCCCACCCUCUUCU
rnacentral:tRNA from 1 species